rnacentral:rRNA from 1 species
UACGUAGGGUGCAAGCGUUGUCCGGAAUUAUUGGGCGUAAAGAGCUCGUAGGCGGUCUGUCGCGUCGGAUGUGAAAACUCGGGGGCUCAACCCCGAGCCUGCAUUCGAUACGGGCAGACUAGAGUUCGGUAGGGGAGACUGGAAUUCCUGGUGUAGCGGUGAAAUGCGUAGAUAUCAGGAGGAACACCGGUGGCGAAGGCGGCUACCUGGACAGAAACUGACGCUGAGGCGCGAAAGCUAGGGGAGCAAACAGG